ACCCGGGCUGCCUGACUCGUCGGUGGCAGCCUGCGGCCUCGCGCGGCACCGCAGGGACCCGGAGGAGUGUGGGGCGGCACCGAGGUUGCGGCCCUAGUGCUCCGAGCGCCGCACUCUGGACUCCUCAGGGCCGCGGGGUUGCGGGGUGGCUGUUGCUGGGAUCUGGGGGUGCAGCCCGAAGGCCCCACUCCUCUCCUACGGCCACUUUUUCCUCCCACAACCGGCGGGCGGGUGCAGCGGGGACCAGGCGGCGGCUCUCGCAUCCCGCGCGAGAAGCCUUGCUUCAGCAUCUGCAGGGGCUGUACCAGGAUCCUUGCUCUCAGGCCCCUCUGUUCCCUUCCCUGGGACAGGAGAGGAGUGGCUGGACUCGGCAGGCCUGCACCCCUACGGCCACUGUGCGGAGGGCAGCCAGGAUUAGCCGGACGGCCACCUAACCAUCCUGGAGGAUGAGCCCUCUGUCCUGGAGGCCCACGACCAGAAAGAAGAUGGCUACUACCAACCCAGCAAAGAGGGCUACCAGGACUGCUACCCCACAGAGGCCAACAGGAGCACCAGCACCUCCCACUACCACCUCAGGCAUGGAGACGCGGACUUGGAGGACCAGGAGGAGGACAUCUACCCAGUCGUGGCCGAGAUCAAGAGGAGCCUGAGCAUGACCAGCAUCACCAGUGCCAGUGAGGCCAGCAGAACUAUAAAAUGUUGCACAGGAGUGACAAACUCUAAAUUCAGAGGAAUGGGUACCUCUAGGAACGGGUAGAAGAAUAAUCCUGUGGGGGGAGGUUCUGGGGGCUUUAUUUUAUAUAUAAGAUUUAGUUCAUGAAACAAGAAAAAGUCUGAAGCAAGUACCACUACAUAUGAGUGUGUUCUGAUAACCCCAGAGAGUGGUACCCAGGUGUUUGGCAUAUGGGCUCCUACAGAUUUAUGUAUGUUUGAAAUACUUAUUUACUUAGAAAUACCUACUUUGAAAUAUUUAUUCUUGAGAUAGAGUCUUAAUAUCACAACAAAUGUACAUAUUAUACACAUGUACAUACUGUACACAUGUACGUAUGUAUUGUGUACACAUGUACAUAUACAUUUGUGAUAUUACAGUAUAUACAUGUGUUCUAUGUGUACACGUGUACAUAUAUGUGCACAUGUACAAGUACAUAUGUGAUAGCUAUGAUACGAAUAUCACAGUGUGCACAUAUGGUAUACAUGCAUUGUGUGCACUCACUGUGAUAUUAGGAGAAAUAUCUUUCUAGGAUAUUAUGAAUAAUAUUACAGGAUGUAAACUCAGUUUGAUAUGAGGAGUAAUAUCUCUCUAGGAUGUUACAGGUAUCAACGGAUGUACACACAUGGUGUACUCACUCCCACAGUGAUAUUAGGAGUGUCAUCUCUUCCUAGGAUAUUACCACUAAUGUCACAGAGUGUACACACAUGGUGUACUGCCACUUUGAUAUUACAAGUAGUAUUUCUCCUUAAGAUAUUACAAAUAAUAUCACAGGGUGUACCCAAAUAACUGUACACAUACUUUGAUAUUACGAGUAAUGUCACAUGCUGAAUAUUACGAAUAAUAUCACAAAGUGUUCAAACAUACUUUACACUGGCUAUGAUAUUAGGAGUAAUAUCUCUUUAAAAUAUACACCCAUAUCAACCAGACUAUGAUAUCUUUUUAAAAUGUAUACCCAUAUCAACCCCCCACAAUAUGGCGAGUAAUAUCACCCUGGCCGUCCCUGGAUAUUAUGAACCAUAUCACGGGAAUGCCCACACCUGUGAUUCCUAGUAUCUCUCCCAAGGAUAUUACGAAUAGUAUCACAGGGUGUACCUAAAUAUUGAACACGCACUUUGAUAUUACAAGUAAUGUCAUAUGCUGAAUAUUACAAACAAUAUCACAAUGUGAACAUACUCCACACAGACUGAUAUUAGGAGUAAUAACUCUUUAAAAUACACACCCAAAUCAACCCGUUAAUAGCUCUUUAAAAUAUACACCCAUAUCAACCCCCUGAAUGUAAUAUUGGGAGUAAUAUCUGUUUAAAAUAUGCACCCAAAUCAACCCGACUGUGAUAUUCAAAGUACUGUCUUUAAAAUGUACCCCCAUAUUAACUCCCCACAAUAUGGCGAGUAAUAGCAUGGCUGCCCCUGGUUAUUAUGAACGAUAUAAUAGGGAGGUGCCCACACCUGUGAUUCGUACUAUCUCUCCCUAAGAUAUUAUGAAUAAUAUCACAGGGUGUACACAAAUACUUCACACAUACUUUGAUAUUACGAGUAAUGACAUGCUUAAUAUUACAAACAAGAU